rnacentral:rRNA from 1 species
UACGUAGGGUGCGAGCGUUGCCCGGAUUUAUUGGGCGUAAAGGGCGCGUAGGCGGCUCGGCACGUCCGUUGUGAAAUCGCCCGGCUCAACUGGGCGGGGUCAGCGGAUACGGUCGAGCUUGAGCAAGCUAGGGGGCAAUGGAAUUCCCGGUGUAGUGGUGGAAUGCGUAGAUAUCAGGAGGAACACCAAUGGCGAAGGCGGCUCACUGGACCGGUUCUGACGCUGAUGCGCGAAAGCGUGGGGAGCAAACGGG